ACGGGUGAGUAACACGUGGGCAACCUGCCCUUGAGACUGGGAUAACUUCGGGAAACCGGAGCUAAUACCGGAUAAUAUAAGGAACCUCCUGGUUCCUUAUUGAAAGAUGGUUUCGGCUAUCACUUGAGGAUGGGCCCGCGGCGCAUUAGCUAGUUGGUGAGGUAACGGCUCACCAAGGCGACGAUGCGUAGCCGACCUGAGAGGGUGAUCGGCCACACUGGGACUGAGACACGGCCCAGACUCCUACGGGAGGCAGCAGUAGGGAAUCUUCCACAAUGGACGAAAGUCUGAUGGAGCAACGCCGCGUGAGUGAUGAAGGCCUUCGGGUCGUAAAGCUCUGUUGUUAGGGAAGAACAAGUGCGAGAGUAACUGCUCGCACCUUGACGGUACCUAACCAGAAAGCCACGGCUAACUACGUGCCAGCAGCCGCGGUAAUACGUAGGUGGCAAGCGUCAUCCGGAAUUAUUGGGCGUAAAGCGCGCGCAGGUGGUUUCUUAAGUCUGAUGUGAAAGCCCACGGCUCAACCGUGGAGGGUCAUUGGAAACUGGGGAACUUGAGUGCAGAAGAGGAAAGUGGAAUUCCAAGU
rnacentral:rRNA from 1 species